GAUCUGUCAGUUUCUUGCACAACUCAAGAAAGAUGCAGAUCAGCAAUGGGGAGGACCUUAGGGAAUAUCCUGGGACUUCGCAGACCUGCACAGUAAGACCAGGAAAAAAAGAUAAACCUUUUGAAAUGGGGAGAAAAUUAAGAGGUUGGCAAAACUUAAUAGCUUUAGCAAACAUUAUUAUGGACCUCUGACAGAUGUUAAAAGAAUGGAGACAGAUCUUUAACAUAUUUGAUAUAUCAUCUCUACUUGGAAGGUUCAGGGAUACUAAUCCAGACUGAAUUAAGUUCAACAGUAUCCUGAGGUCAAGUUUCUGGAAUAGAAACACCAAGGGCACAGAAUACUUUAGGAGUACAUUUGAAAUCUGCAUCUUUAUUUUGUUCCAAACCCAGGGAUGAACCUUUGCACAGAAAGAUUACUAGAGCUUUCAAUGGGAAAUCACUCUCCCUAGGUUCCUCCAGCCCAAGCCAAGAUCCACUCAUCUCUUCGACAACUAUAUACAUUGUGCCAGGUGCUGGAGAUUGCAUGAAUGAAACACACUGUUCUUGUUCUCUAGAGAUGUAUACUAGUGAGAUAGAUGGACAAAAAUAAGCAUAGUUAUGAUUGACCAUAAGUAUUGUAAAGGGAAUAAACAGGGGCACUAAAGGGGCCUGACAAAGGCACCAUCUUUGGUUAGGGUGGCUAGGCAAGGGCUCCCUGGAGAGUGAGUCUAUGACAGAACAGUCAUCAAUGAACAUUCCUUCCCUGACUUAUUCUUGCCUCAUUCCACAUUCUUUUCCAAGUAGGUGGCUGAUGAACAGGUCAAAACCUAAAUAUACUGUGGCAGGAAUGGACUGGACAUACCAAAAAGGUUGCUUUAGAAAUCAGUCAUGAAAGGGCACCUAGGUGGCUCAUUGCUUGGGUAUCUAACUCCUGGUUUCAGCUCAGGGAGUGAUCGCAAGGUUAUGGGGUCCAGCCCUGCAUUGGGCUUCAUG